CUGGACCGGCUCCUGGAGAAGGUUCUUCUGCUGGUUUUUGAGGCGGAGAUGUCUCGGUUUGACCGGCAGCGCCACGGCCAGGAGAACGCAGCCGAUAUGGAGUCCGCAGUACCAGGACCUGCAGGGAGGAAGAAACAGAUCCAGCAGCAGAUGGCAGCAGUCUACAGAGUACCAACCAACCACGACACCUUCACAGGAAGUCAAUCAAAUAUGCCGAAGCAGAAGAGAGCGAAGUAGAGUCCCAGUAAGGUGGCGACCACAUGUCUGAUGAAGGGACUGGUUUUACUGGGAUGAAGGAAGAGGCGAAACCAGAAGGCCGACAGCAAAGCGCAGAGCUGACACACCACAAAGUUCACCUGCCAGACAGAGAGAGGGGCGAAAAGACACAUUACAGAGGGAGUAUCAGCAGCGUAACAUCUGAUCCAGCUGAAGUGAAACAGGCGACGCUUGUUGAUGUGUUGCUCAUUAAUAAUGAACGGCGUGUAAACUGAGCGAUUACAGUCUGUUUCCUCUUUCGUCUGCUGCCUGAAGCUCCACACACACGUUAAUUAGAGGCUGAUGACUAAUGAGGAGGACACACACUGACCGGCUCCAUGGCUGGAGAGUAACUGAGUACAUUUACUCAAGUACUGGA